UUAAUCGUUCCAGGCGGCCCACGUGAUCCAGCUGGCCUAAUCUACAUUCCACAAUUGGACUCUAUGGCGCUGAAUGACCCCGGGGGCGGCCAGUGACCCCACGUGACCUUAUGCAGCCGUCCCCAGCCAUCACAAGCUGUCCCAAUGAUGAAUGGACCAGUGAUUGUACAGCCCAAGACCACGUGGACAGCACCUUCUGUGGACUUCCUGCAACAAAAGUUCUCCAGCAGUGAAUCAUCGGGGUUGCAUCCGGUGUAUCUCCUGCCUGCUUACAUCCCGAGCAGAGGCGUCGUGAAGCGUCGGUGCGGGCAGCCGGGAAGCGUUGAACGGUGUGUCGGACAUAACAAGCAUACUGGAGGGGGGCGAAUUGGAAGGCCCUCCGGCCACACCACGCAAGGCCACUUCACCACCAGUCACAGUGACCCGUGGGUGCUCACGGACCGGACCCAGGCUGCUCCCGGCGAGGCCAACACCUAAAAGGAGAGGCAACGCAAGGGCACGGGACGAAGCACAUCCACCAUGCAGCUCCGCACCAGCUCCAUCUGCAGCUGAGGCGCUCCAUGACUUGUGGCAGCUGUGUCUAGGGGGCGAGAGGUAACCACAUAUUGACCAGCCUGAAAGGGAGGAUGAAAAACGGGGCUGGCUGGCUGUUAGGGCCGGGAUUGGAACCCGUGCCCUCGGAUUUGAAGCGAAGUGUACUUACCACUACACCACAGAGGCACUUCUUGGCAUAAUGCAUAGGCACAAAUGAACACAGAUAACUGGUGCAUUCAUUCAUCACAAAUGUCUUCUAAUUUAAGUACCACACACUACAGGGACUUGCACUGUAUUACCAUUAUGUCAAUUUGAGCAAAAUUCAGUUUACAUAACACUUCCAUGAACCUAAGUUUGUCAAACAUGGACAUACUCUACUAAUUAUGCAUUUUAUCCUCACUCAAUUGUUUUCAGUUUUUUUUUUUGCAUAUUUUUAGAGAAUCCUUACAAAAAGGAAAUGGGCUGGGAUGAUGGAAGGAUAAAAAUAAAUUAAAGGAUUAAUGAACGAAAAGGAGGAAUGGUACUUGAAGA